CUAGGUCUCAGUUCGGAUCGCAGGCUGCAACCCGCCUGCGUGAAGUUGGAAUUGCUAGUAAUCGCGGAUCAGCAUGCCGCGGUGAAUAUGUUCCCGGGUCUUGUACACACCGCCCGUCACACCAUGGGAGCCGGGAAUGCCCGAAGUCGGUGACCCAACCGUAAGGAGGGAGCCGCCGAAGGCAGGCCUGGUAACUGGGGUGAAGUCGUAACAAGGUACC
rnacentral:rRNA from 1 species